rnacentral:lncRNA from 1 species
GACAGAAGCAUGUCUGUUCUACCCUAGCUCCAAAGACUGAUGGUACAGUCCCCCUGGGGAAAGAAAUUACUAGCAAAUGCAGAAUACACUGUUUUCCUAUGUAACCCAAGUGGAACGGUAGAGGGGGCAUUCCACCCAGUGACAGACUUGAAUAUUCUUCCUCUAAGACAUCUCGAAGGAUUGUUGCUACUGUCUCAUUAGAAGCACCUAUAACCAAAGUAGUGAUGAAGCACUGCCCUCAGGUGAUUUCUAGAGCUCAUCUGUAGGGGUGGUGGUGAUGGUGAUGGUGGUGUCUGUAUUGGAAGAGGAAGCUGUGGGCAUCUAUGAUGACACAUUUGUAAGAGCUCAUGCAACACCACUUAAAAACAUCUAAUUAGAUCAAAGUUCCUAGGAUGCUGCAUAAAAAUAUGGAGUCAAGUGUAAGUGAUACUGUGUGUAUUUCUAUUAAUAUGCCCUUUCUGUACCAGGUUCUAGAAGCAUACUGUUAUCUCCAUUUCAGUAGUUAAGAAACUGAGGCUUAGCAGUUAAGUAAUGUGUUUACUGUAUUAAAACAAGAAGUGUUAAUGCCAGGAUUUAAACCCAUGUUUAUAUGCCUCCAAAGCAUAUUUGUGUUUCCACUAUGCUGUACAAGCUCAUUACGCUCCUCUGACAGUACAAUCUCAGAGGCAGCUGAAAUAAGAACCUUAAAAAGUCAGGUCAUGUGCCAGAUGUUACACAUUUGAACUUGGGAAAUAAUGGCCAAAUCAACUAGAAGAGUUAAUAGAUCCUGAAAAACAGCAGUUCUAGGUAGAGAUCAACAUCAUCUCUGGUUAUGGGAGGAGGAAUUCUUUGUUUAAGCAAAACUUAAAUAUGAAUAAGUUUACUGAUGGUUGUUCUUAUGAUCAAGUGUGAGGCAUUACGUGUGUUAGGGUGGGCACUCGUUCACCAGUGGUUGUUAUCUUGCCAGGUUGUUUAACUUGCCUAAAAUCCAUUUUCUCUCUAUAAGAUGAAGAAUAUGAAAGCAUCUGUUUUGUAGGAUUAUUGUUAACUUACGUGGAGAGGGUAAUGUAGAGAACAGACACAGCUCCCAGUAGACAGCCAACACCAAACACUGGAUAUGAGUGAAGAAGCUUUGAGACAGUUCCAGCUCCUAGUCUUCCAUGGGAGGCUCUAGAUGUCGGAGCAGAGACCAGCUGUCCCUACUGUGCCUCAUCCAAAUUCCUGACCAACAGUAUCAGUGAGCAUGACUCAUUACCAUUCCCUGCCACUGAAUUUGGGGGUAAUUUGUUAUGCAUCCAUAGCAACUGGAACAAAUUUUGAUAGCAUAUAAAUAAUACAAAAGAAAAAUAAGAUAGCCAGGGAAUUUAUAUAACUCAUUUCCUGUUCAUUAAUUAAUAUGCAUUGCUAGACCAAGUGGACUCAGUCAAGAGUCAGUUCUGGAAUCUAACAAUUUAGUAACCGGAUUGUUAGGAAAAUACAACCAAACCAUAGAGGCACAAUGAUACUUUAUAUCAACAGAUUAAACAUGGUUCCUAGUCCCUUUUAGCUUUUGACAGAGGAAACAAACUUCUGUUCACUGACCUCUAACAAAUGUUUUAGCUGAGUGCUCACUGAUUUAUGUUUAACUAAAGUUCUCUUCAGGAAUGAGGAAAUUCUAACAGGUAGCUCAGGGGUGGCUAACCUUAGCUCUUGUAAUAAUAAUAAAACUUUAUAGAUGGUCUAAUGUUAGAUUUUUAUAUCCUUAAUCUCGUGGGGUUUAUAAAUGCAUUUGUAUAGGCUUAGCAUAGAGGCAUAUAGUAGUCAUAGAAUAUAAUGUGUGUGUUUGCUUCUGCUUGCAGCUGUCCAGAUAUAUGAGUGUAUGCAUACCAAAGAUAAAUAUGUGUAACAGGAUGAAACAAAGAAACCAGUGACCACUUUUGGCUUCCAUUCCUUGUAUUAAGACAUACAGUUCUGGGAUAGAACCCCAAGAGGAUUUGCCCAGAUGUUAUAUGGAUACAUGGCAACCAUCUCACUCUUGGAGAAAUAAAUACCAUAAAAGGGUUGGGCAGGCAUGGAAAGACAUUAUAUAACUGCCAAGAAUGUUAAAGGUCUAAGAUUUUACUCUACUCGCAGGCUAACCAUUUAGCCUGCAUGGUUUCAAGGGUGCCAGUAGAGUUGAAACUGAGUCAUAGGCAAAGGAGAGUGUGUUACUUACAGCAACGGCAGUAGCCAAAGAAUCAGCAUUUUUUGGGCCAGUUCCCAAGCCUCCUGGCCACUUCCCAGUUCUCAUGGGGUGUCUUGAAGAGGGCAGACGAUAGAUGCAAAUGUAGUCAGUUUGCUACAGGAGAAGAACAGUAUUUGUUAGGGAACCUGAAUCUUGUAUAAUAUGCAGUCAGCAUGCUUGAUGUUUGCUUUUGAGAGAGAGACAUUUUCUUUAUUAUACUGGACAGUAAGAAUGUCUACCCUUUGCUUCACAAGGAAAUGCUAUCUCUAUCUUCCAAGGCAGUAAGCAAACUUGAUCUUUGUAUUUUAAGGCUGCAUAUAAAUAUCCUUGAAAAGGUAGUUCAGAACAAAAGGCAGUCAGUAUCUCUGCAAACUGAUGUGCAGAAAUAUUAAGAUUCAAGGAAAAUUAUACCCCAAUAAUAACCCCCAGUCUUCAAAGAUCCAAAGAAAUUACAAAACAACUCAUGGUUUGACCAGGGAUCAAAGGUCAAUGACAUCUGUAUGCAUUAGGCCAGAUAGAAAUAAAUGUAUAUCAUAAUUUGGAUUUGCAUAUUUUCCCUUUGGGACUAUACUCUAAGGUGGUCCCCAUCACUGGGAUAGCAAAGACGACCUUAAAAAAAUUCAGUUUCUCUCCAGUUCAAGUCUAUCUUUUUAUAUUGGUUUAGGGACCAGAUGGGUAUGGAGACUCUGAGCCUCAUAAUUCACAAUGACACUGUGAAAUAAACAGAGUAGGUAUUUAUUCCUUCCAGCUGAUGGAAGAGGAAAUUACUCCAUGGCUGGUAGAGAACACCGAGUGACAGGUUGGUAGUGGCAAAUGCAGAAAGAUAGUAAGAAAAGAUGAGUUUCUGAGACUAGCCUAAAAGGAUAAAGGGGCCCUGCUGGGGCCCAGCUGCUGUGGGUUAGAGAGGGUGUUAAUCACACACUGCUUUCAAAUCCAUCUCCACCCUUUCAUUGAUCUGCUGUACUAAUUGGCAGCACCCUUUGUGGAAAAACAAGCAAACAAACAAACAAACAAGCUUGACGUACUGCUUAUUGGCUUAGGGAGAUGCCAAGAAAUAUUUGUCUGUUUUGUUUUUUGUAUUUUGGUCUGAGCUCUCACUGGGAAACAAAAUAAAGCCUUUUGAUAAAUUAAUAUCCAAAUUAUACCAUCUCUGUGGUCCAAAAUCACAUGUAAAAAUUUCAUAUAAAUUGAUCUCUAGAUAGUGAGUUACCAGGGACUUCUGGAGAAGCAAAGGUAAAGCCACUCUGAAGGAUCACUUUCACAGCCCAGGUUGCAAAGAAUUCCUAAAGAUUUUAAUUCAAGAUGAGCUCAUGGUACAAAAUUAUAAAAUAGGCAAGUUAAGAAUUCACCAUAAGCAGUAACUUGAGAUCAUAGAGUAUUGUGAUAGAGACAAUAAUACAAUUUUGCUUCACAUAAUUAGAUAGAAUAAAUAGAACCUAUAAAGAAAGAAUAAGAUAAAAUGAAAAAUGUAUAGGGAAACUUGAAUAAACAACCAAAUAGUUGACUUCUGCUGCUGGACAAGAUAGAAUAGCCUUUUUCUUAGUGAUCAUUGCAAUACUCUGGACAAAGCUCAAAAAAACAAGUAGCUAAGAAUCCUGAGAACUUCAUAAAAGUAGACAGAUUGGGGGAGGGGUCAAAGUUUGAAGAAGUAAAUAUCUGACUUCUUCCUCUUAAGGUCUUGAUCUUGCAUUGAGAUGGGGCCCCAGUUACGGAGCCAUAGCUCCUUCUUAAAUGCUAAGGUAAACUACAUCUUUCUGGCCAGCAGUUCAGAAAGAGGGGCACCAGAGGGUGUAUGGGGAUGUCAUAGGAGAGAGCUGGAGAAAGAGACCUUUAAUUAUGUGUUUGAACCAGAACAAAUCCCAGGCUUGUCCUGGACCUGUGCAAACUUGGGGAAGACCCAAAGCAGCAUGACAAAGGCUUUGCAAACUGAACUGACAGUGGAGCCAUUGCCCACGAGUGAGGCAGACUUGCCUUCUACACCUAACUGGGUUGAUUGUCUGUGAAAAUAAAUUUUAGGGCUUUAGCAGGACCUAACAUCUUACAAUGUAACUUAAGAUUUGCAACACACAAUUAAAAAUUGUACAAUAUACCAAGAAGAAAUAAAGCGGACCCAGGAAAAUGUGACCAAUUCUCAAAAGAAAAAUACAAUAACUCAAAACCCCAAGACGACCCAGAGUUUAGAGAUCAAAGAUUCUAAACCAGCUAUUAAUAUGCUCUAUAUCAAGAUAGAAACACUCAGUGAAUGUAAAGAUGGAAGUUCUGUGCAAAGAAAUAGGAAAAUAUAAAAAAAGAGAACCAAGUAGAAAUUUUAGAGCUGAAAUAUAAUAUCAGAAAUUUUAGAAAAAUUCCAUGGAUGGGCUCAGUAGCAGAAUGCAGAUGAACAGAGUCAGUGAACUUAAAAAUAGGUCAUUAGUAAUUAUGUAAUCUUAAUAGAGCAAAAUUUAUAUAUAUAUAUAUAUAAAAUGAAUAGAGUCUUAGGAACCUUGGAAACAAUAACAGUAUGUCUAACAUUUUUGUCAUUUGAGUUCCAGAAGGAAAGAGAUUGGUGCAGAAAAAAUAUUGAAUAUAUAAUGAAUGAAACCUCCCCAAAUUUGAGAGACACAAAUUUAUAUAGACUUAAGAAGCUUAGCAAAACUCAAGCAGGAUAAAUUCAAAGAAAAAUAAGCUCAGAUACAUCAUAAUCAAAUCACUG